AUUCUAUUAUGUUUUGGCCAAGGUUAGUUUGCCUGGAUACAGACUAUUGGACACAGAACAAAGCACACAGAGAACCCUUGUGUGUUCGGGCACCCUCUGUAUGCACCUACUCUUCCCCGGGAGGAUUCAUUCUAAGGAAAGAGCAGCAACUCUGAAGCCCCGGAGCUGCCUGCUACCACUGAAAGGCCUUAGUGCCGUGGGAUUGGGCCUUCCACCCAGGGCGAAGAAGGAAUUUCUCUUUGUUGUGGGAAAGACAUGCAGGAGAUAA
rnacentral:lncRNA from 1 species